rnacentral:rRNA from 1 species
ACGGGGUGCAGCAGGCGCGAAAACUCCGCAAUACACGAAAGUGUGACGGGGGAACCCCAAGUGCUCUCGCGCAAGCGAGUGCUUUUGUGAAGUGUAAAUAGCUUUGUGAAUAAGAGCUGGGUAAGACCGGUGCCAGCCGCCGCGGUAACACCGGCAGCUCGAGUGGUAAUCGUUAUUAUUGGGCCUAAAGCGUCCGUAGCCUGUUUGAUAAGUCCUUGGGCAAAUCCUGCCGCUUAACGGUAGGAAUUCUGGGGAUACUGUCAGACUUGAGGCCGAGAGAGGUCGGAGGUACUUCUAGGGUAGCGGUGAAAUGCUAUAAUCCUAGGGGGACCACCAGUGGCGAAAGCGUCCGACCAGAGCGGGCCUGACGGUAAGGGACGAAAGCCAGGGUCGCGAACGGGAUUAGAUACCCCGGUAGUCCUGGCCGUAAACGCUGCAUGCUAGGUGUUGCAUGCUCUACGGGGGCAUGCAGUGCCGAAGAGAAGUUGAUAAGCGUGCCGCCUGGAAGUAUAUCGCAAG